UUAUUUUAAUUUUUCAUUACCUUCCAAGUUAAAGUCUACAACAGUUUUUAUAUUUAAUACAAACAAUGACUAAAAUAAAAUACUAGUUAACUACGGGAAGGUUUAGAAAUUGACCCACUAAUAAAAAAUAUAAUCGGAGCUUCUCUUCGGGUCUCUCGGUCGGGCACUCCUCCACAAUCUUGCGUUCUCACCUUCUUCUUGCUCGACGUUGGCAGGCGAUGAUGCUUAUUGGCUUACGAUGUCUCCUUCGCUGAAUUCUUCUUUCUCCCACUCUUUCAGGUAAGCCGCUUUGAUUUGCAGGUUGUUUAAAUUAAGUGCUUCAUGCUUGCCCCUCUCUGUUGACACCUUGUCCUCAAGGUGUAGAUUGGGAAGAAGUUUCUUCAGACUGGAGAUAUCUUCCCAAGUCGCCUCCUCUAGAAUUGAUCCCUCCUACUGUACCAAUAGUUGUGGUAUUAAUUUGUUGAGCAUGUAGAUAACUCUGUAAUCGACAAAAAGAUUAGGUAGUAAAACAGGUUGGUUGUUGAUGGAAAAUUCAGGGAUUUUGGCAAUCUCCUUUGUAGGAACAGGUCCUUUGUAGGCUUUUAACUUCGAGAUGUGAAAAGAGUCAUGAAUAGCAGAUCCUUUUGGCAACUUCAAUUUAUAGGCAACAGGAUUGAUUUUCUGUGUGAUCUGGAAUGGGCCAAAAUACCUGAGCCCCAAUUUUUGAUGAAGCUUCAAGAUGAUUGUUCUUUGUCUGUAGAGUUGCAAUUUCACUAGAACCCAGUCAUUCACAUUGAACUCAACAUCCUUCCUUACUCGAUCAGCUUGUUUCUUCAUCCUAGUUUGGGUAAGUUCCAAAUUUUUUCUAACCUGUCCAAUAAUAUCCUCUCUUUGUUGGAGGUCAAAAUUAACAUCAUCAACAGGAGUUCUUACUUCUGAAUAGAUCGGAAGGCUGGGGGGAUUUCUUCCGUAAAGAGCUUUGAACGGUGACAUACGAAGAGAGGAAUGAAAGCUAGUGUUGUACCAUAAUUCAGCCAAAGGGAGGAAUUUUACCCAACUCUUUGGAUUAUCAUGAACCAAAGUUCUCAUAUAAAUCUCAAUACACUUGUUAACCACUUCAGUUUGGCCAUCUGUCUGAGGAUGGUAAGUUGUUGACAUGCAUAGUAUGGUGUCACUGGCCUUGUGUAGGGUCUUCCAGAAUUUUGAGGUGAAAACCUUGUCCCUAUCAGAGACUAUAGUCUUGGGAAUACCAUGUAGUUUAACAAUCAUGUGAAUAAACAUAUCAGCGACCGUGGUUACAUUGAAAUCAGCCUGUAGGGUUCCCAAAUGACAAAAUUUAGACAAUCUGUCCACCACAACAAAAAUUACCGAUUUUCUUUCAACUCUAGGAAGAUGGGUUAUAAAAUCCAUUGAGAUAUCAUCCCAAACUGCCUCUGGUAUUGGUAGUGGCAUUAGGAGUCCAAGGGGUUUGUGGUUGGUAGAUUUAGUUUGUUGACAAAUUAAAUAAGAUUUCACAAAUUUUUGAACAUCUACCUUCAUAUUUUUCCACCAAAAGAUGCUAGAAAUUCUUUUCAGUGUUCUUUCAAUUCCUGAAUGGCAUCCGAAGGUAGAACAAUGAAGCUCUUGUAAUAUCAAAGGUAUAAAAUUAGAUGAUUGAGGUAGGUAGUAUUUCCCCUGUUUCAUUAAAUUACCAUUUACCACGGUAAAACCAUCAUUCCCACCAGAACUGGACUGAACUGUUCUCAUUAAUUCUUAGGCAGAAGGAUCAUUCUCUCUUCUAAUGUCGUCUAUCAUGCUGCAAAAAUUCUGUGUAAGAGCCAGGAUGGGAUCUGUCUUGAGUGGUGUCAUUAUGUUCUUCUAAAGAUCUAGAUAGGGCAUCAGCUAUCACAUUUUCCUUCCCUGAUUUGUGUUCAAUAGUAUAAUAAAAUCCCAAUAACUUGCAUAAGAAAAUCUGCUGUUCUGGAGUUUGAAUCACUUGGGAGAGAAGGUUUUUCAGAGUUUUAUGGUCUGUCUUGAUUAUAAAAUGGUUGCCCAGAAGGUAAUGUCUCCAUUUACUCACAGCUUGAGUAAAUGCAUACAUCUCUUUGGUGUAGAUAGAUGCUCCAGCCAUCCUACUAUAAAUUUUAGAGCUAUAAUAUGCAAUGGGGUGUUUCUCUUGUAAUAACACAACACCUAUCCCUACCAAACAACCAUCAGUCUCUACUAUAAAUUGCUUCGUAAAGUCAGGGCACAUCAGUAUUGGUGUUGUUGUCAUGGCUUUUUUGAGUGCAGAAAAACUGGAAGAAGCUACAUCAUUCCAAACAAAUGAAUUCUUUGGAAUGUUAUCUCGACAUAUUUUCUGUCAAACCUUCUGUAGUACCCAGUUAGCCCCAAAAAUCCUCUCAAUUGUUUGAUGUUCUUAGGUAAAGGCCAGUCCACCAUUGUUGAAAUUUUAGAAGGGUCUGGUUCUACUCCUGAGCCAGAGAUAAUGUGCCCUAGAAAAUUCAUAGUUGCCUUUCUGAAUGUGCAUUUAGAGAGUUUGGCCAAAAAUUUGUGAGACCUUAAAGUUUGCAGGACUUGUUCAAGGUGCCGAACAUGAUCUUAUUCAUUCUUGCUAUAGACUAAGAUGUCAUCGAAGAAAAUAAUCACAAACCUUCUCAUUAGGUGUUGAAAAGUGUCAUUCAUAACAGAUUGGAAGGUGGAGGGUGCAUUGGUCAAGCCAAAUGGCAUGACUAAGAACUCAUAAUGCCCAUGGUGAGUUUUAAAUGCAGUCUUACAAACAUCUGAUGGGUUUACUCUUAUUAGAUGGAAACCUGAUCUUAAAUCCAACUUAGAAAAUACAGAAACUCCCUUAAGUUCCCCUAAAAGUUCAUCAACCGUGGAUAUGGGAAAUUUAUCUUUCACUGUCAAGACAUUUAGUGCCAUAUAAUCUACACAGAGUCUGAACCCUCCAUCUUUUUUCUCAACCAACAAAACAGAAGAUGAAAAAGAUGAUGUAUUGGUCUGUAUAAUCCCUUGUUCUGACAUUUCUUUGAUCAAUCUUUUAAUUUCUGUUUUCUGAAAUUGGGGCUGCCUGUAUGGUCUCACACUCACAGGUUUAGAUUGUGGUUCCAGAUGUAUGAAGUGGUCUUGUUUUCUUCAAGGUGGUAGACCAGUGGGGGAAGCAAUAAUAUCUUCAUAAGUAUACAAAAGAUCAGUGAUAAUAGGACUUACUGAUUUGUCCACAUUUAAUUUUUGAGGUGCUUCGUCAUUCAUUUCUAGAUAACACAUGAAUGCCUCUGUAGUAGAGCUUAAUAGAGUCUUCAAUUCAGCAGAAGAUAAUAGAUUAUCAUCUAUCCAAGAUUCCCCUUUCCAACAGAUUUUCUGUCCCUCCCAAUCAAAGUGCAUCGAGGGCUCUUGGAAUUGGAAUGAGACCAUUCCUAAAGAUUUCAGCCAUUGCAUUCCUAGUACCACAUUUAUUCCUGCCAAGUCAAUCAAAAACAAAUCAAGGGUUAAAGUGAUCUCACUCAUUUUCAGAGGUGCCUGUUUGCAUACUUUGGUACAAAUAAGUUUUUCACCACCCCCAGUAGUGACUGAAAAGGGUCUUGUAGGGCUGAUAUUAAGUGGUAGUGAGUGGGCAAGGUUUUCUUGCAUAAAACAGUGGGUGAAACCUGUGUCAAUAAGUACUGAAACUUUUCUGUUUUGGAGGGAACCCUUCAUUCUAAUAAUAUUAUUCUCUACAUUUUCCUCUAAAGCAUUCAAACUCAAUGUAGUUACUUCCCCAUGACAUUCUAACUCUUCUUCUUCUGUAUCACUAACCAUUUCCCAAAGCUCGGUCUCAUCAGCAGAAAGUCUGAAUAAUCUACCUUUGCAAUGGUGCCUGAGGUUGAACUUCUCGUCACAAUUAAAGCACAAUCCCUUUUCUCUUCUAGCUCUCCUCUCUGCCACAUUCAGUCUCUUAAAAUUAGUGAUCUUAUUUUGUGUACUCUUGCUGGAAUCACCCUCUGCUGAAUUUGGUUAAGAAGUCUGGAAUGAUGAUGGGUUUUUGUAAAAUACUGAAUUUCCAGAAGAAAAUUUCUUUUGGGUUCCCGAGUACUUAGAACUAGAGCCAUCAAUUUGAGCCUCUACAGCUUUGGCUAAGGACAUGGCCUCUUGAAUAUCUGGGGCUUAAACUUCAAAACCUCUUGUUGAAUGUCAUUUCUCAGUCCAGAAAUGAAAAGUUCAAGGAGGAACCAUUCGGAGAGGCCUAUCACCUUGUUGGCCUGAUGUUCAUAAUCUGCCAAAUAAGCAGCCACAGUAGAUUUUUGAAAUAUCUUGCUCAAUUUGCCACCUGGGAUUGCAUCAUCAUUGGGAUCGAAUCUUUUGUGAAUAUCAUUGGCAAAAGAAAACCAAUCUGUCAAUAGGUUGCAAGAUUCCAUAUAAGAGAACCAUUCUUGAGCUAAACCAUCCAUGUGAAAAGAUGCUAUGAGAACUUUCUGAUUUUCAGGGAUUUUGUCGUAUAGAAAAUACCUUCUGGCUGUAUAAAGCCAAACUCUCACAUUCUCUCCUUCAAAACGAGGCAUAAUAAACUUCAUAUUUUUUGUACCAUCAUAUUCACUGUUCAGAUAGUCUUUUGCAUAGCUAGGAUAAUCUAGAACAUCAUUAGGCAUAUCCUUACAUAAAGAGUCCCAUGGAGUUCUCUGUGAAGUAGGGCUUCUCAAAUAAGGUUGUAACUUUUGGCAUAAUGAAGUAAUAUUCUUCUUCAUUUCUAAAUUCUGUGUCUCCAUUGAUUUUUGCAGAUCUGAUUUUAGUUGUGCUAGCUCUUGAAUUUGAUUAGUUUGACUUACUUGAAGAGCUUUAACUUGGGCCUCCAGAUUAGACAUGGUGGCUCCUAACAAGUGAGAGGUGAGCACAAACUUGAAAGCACCAAAUGGUACAGCCUGAAAAAAGAGAAUAAAAUACAAAAAAGCUGGACAGAUUUAUCCGAAGUUUCGAUGUUGGCCGGAGUGUUCUUCGGAGGUCGGCGGUUUGGGUGCUGGUUGUAAUCUGCAGCUUGGAUCAAGGAUAAAUGAUCGGAGCAGGGCGGAAUCGGUUGGAGGGAUCGGUGGUUGAGUUCCUCGCGGUCUGGUUCUGGAUUCUCUCAGGAUCAGAGCUUCGAGGUUAGGGUUUUCCACGAUUUUGCGAUGGAGGAAAAUUAUUUUAAUUUUUCAUUACCUUCCAAGUUAAAGUCUACUGCAGUUUUUAUAUUUAAUACAAACAAGGACUAAAAUAAAAUACUAGUUAACUACGGGAAGGUUUAGAAAUUGACCCACUAUAAUAAUAAAUAUAAUCGGAGCUUCUCUUCGGGUUUCUCAGUCGGGCACUCCUCCACAAUCCUGUGUUCUCACCUUCUUCUUGAUCGAUGUUGGCUGGCGCUGAAGCUUGCUGGCUUGUGAUGUCUCCUUCGCUGGACUCUUCUUUCUCCCACUCUUUCAGGUAAGCCGCUCUGAUUUGCCGGCUGUUUAAAUUAAGUGCUUCACACUCCUACCUAUACCUAAAAUCAAUCUUGUCACCCAUAGCCUCAUACUUCUCUAUUUAACCAAACCCAUUUACUGAUUUUUUUUGGGCAAUCAAACGAAGACAUCGUCAUUCCUUCUACUUCCUUCUACCCUCUACUACUAUCAACGGUUUCACAACUCCGACCUUCCUCACCCUGUCUAAACCCUCGAACCUGCACAACUACAACCCACCUCCUCCUCUACUAGUCAACAGCCAUCUGCCUUUCUAACCCUUCCAUUUUUUCUAACCUUCUACCCUGUUUUACCUUUGAUCUAUCUGCCAUUUCUAACCAUUCUGCUUCUUCAAGACUUAUUUUUUAAUUAUUCUAUUUUUUUUCCUUCUAGAAACUCGACUUUGAAUUAAAUCUUUUUUUCAUCUUGUAGAUAUUUUUGUGGGAGCACACUACGCUAUUUCGUCGUAAGUCACCACGGAAUCGUUUAAUAUUUCAAAGAUACGAAAGAAAUCCUCGAAAGAAGAAGCGUACGAUAGUCUCUCUUAGUAAUAAGGAGGUAAUCUAAACUUAUUCUUAUACGUUCAUCGAAUUAUAUAUAUCAAUGAAACUGAUUUUUUCAAUUGUUUUUACAGGUAUACGAUUUUCCGCUGUCGUAUAAUAGUUUUGGUCCUCCGCCAGAGGUGUAAUAUGAUUUUUAUGUAUUUAAAUUGAUUAUCUAUAAUUUCUUUAUCUAAUUUAAUAUUUCUCAUUAAUUAAUUUCAAUUAUUGAUUUAUAUUUCAAUUUCAAUAUGUUUGUUUUAUUUAACAUUUUUUUCUCUUAUUAUUUUUAAUGAUUUAAUGUAGAACAAAUUACAUAAAUUUUCGAGUUCAUUAAUUCAACCGACUUUACGUCAAUUUCUUCAUAUAAGGAAAAAAAAGAAUAAUAAUAUCAAACAUAAGGUUGUAUUUUACAUAUAUUUGAUUAUUUGACAUAUAUAAUUUCGUUAAAAUACUUUUUGAAAACUAUUUGAAAUUGAAAUUUCUGUAUUUCAGUGUGAUAUGUCGAAAGUUAGAAAUCAUACUUGUUCAUCAUGAGGUAAUAUUGUCUUAUAUUUUG
rnacentral:lncRNA from 1 species